rnacentral:rRNA from 1 species
AAGUCUGACCUGCCCACUGAAUUUUAAAUGGCCGCAGUAUUUUAACUGUGCAAAGGUAGCAUAAUCAUUAGUCUUUUAAUUGAAGGCUGGUAUGAAUGGUUGGACGAGGUAAAUACUGUUUCAUAUAAAUUUAUAGUAGAAUUUUAUAUUUUAGUUAAAAAGCUAAAAUAAGAUUAAAAGACGAGAAGACCCUAUAAAUCUUUAUAUUUAAUAUAGUUUAAAUUUUUUUGGUUUGGUUUAUUUUUAUUAUAUUAAGUAUUUUGUUGGGGUGAUGUUAAAAUUUAAUGAACUUUUAAUUUUUUUAGAUCAUUUAUUUAUGUAUUGUUGAUCCAUUAUUAUUGAUUAUAAGAUUAAGUUACUUUAGGGAUAACAGCGUAAUUUUUUUGGAGAGUUCAUAUCGAUAAAAAAGUUUGCGACCUCGAUGUUGGAUUAAGAUAUAUUUUAGGUGUAGCUGCUUAAAU